UCAAAUCACUAACACCGUAGUGGUAAUAAUAACAAUUAUUACAUAUCUGUGAGUCUUUUCAUUUUAUGAAAAACCGUGAUCUCUGUCGAGUCUUUAUGUGGAUUGCAUCCAAACAUUUCAGUCUUUCUUGUCUUAUUUGCUGUAUAGCAAGAUAAUUUUGAAGCGAGAUUGCAAGAGCUCAAGAGCUAAGCCUUUUGGGAACACACAUGUGCAAACGGCAACCGAAACCAGGUUGAUAUUUAAACAAAAAGCACUCAGGAGAUGAAUUAAGACUGACAGGGUUGUGUCACUGUGGCAACAACUUAUGAUUAGCAGGAUCAAAUGCAGAGAGUGCAUCAUGAAAAUAAUGAGUUUCUAAUCAAGAUACAUGUGCGCCAUUUCCCCCAACGUUAUCUCUCGCGCUGAAGAAGGGCAUGGAUUUCCGCAAACCCACAGAUUUCAAAGAAAAGUACAGAACGGACAUAUAAAAUCAGCAGUGGGUUCUUUUUCAAGGUUGACAUCACUCUUUUCAAUCUCCUUUGCUUGCCAGCUAACAACAUUGACGUUGUGGUUAUGUUUUUGAAUAUCUUCAUAUACAUAAAUAAUGAGAUGUCUUGGAGAUGGAACCCAACUAAAACACAAAUGACUUUGCUGUUUCCUAUACACCAUAUAUACACAUACCCUGAAGGCAAUUAUAUACACAAUAUUAUGAUAAUUGUGUAUAUGACAUGAAGUCUGUGUACAAUGAAGAUCAGAAAGCAAAGGCUGUCAAUAUGCCAGCUACCCAUGUGGACAAUUUUAGAUUUUGCAGUCUUUUUUAAAUUUCAGAAUUCUGAAUAUGAAAUGCUUAAUCUGUAAUACUGGCCUGCCCUUUGUGUUGUCACGAUCAAGAGAUAAGGUUUAGUCACAUAUUCAGGAGAAGAUCUGAAGAUACUAAGGAAGCAGAAGACUAGAUAUGAGAUUUGCCUCCAGAACUCAUUCUGCAACACACUGCUCUGUCAAGAUGCUCUGUGAAAGGAGAAUCUCUGGGAUUAUUGAUACUGUAUGUCCUUUGUGGACUGAAUAAAUUAUUCUCCCCUUCUCUUUGAUUCUGAAAAUUCUACAAUUUCAGUAUCCACUAUUUCACUUACCCUUCAGGCAAUAUUACUCCCCAGAAGUGUUUGUGUCUUCUCUAAGUCCUCCAGUGUGACUAUGGUAUACUUAUACCCCUAGUUUUAAAAAAGCUGAUUUGUUAUUAUCCAUGGUUUCAAGUAUCUAUGUGGGGUUGGGGUUGGAACAUAUCCCCCAAAGAUACGGGGGAUCAUACUGUAUAAAUCUUUGCCACACUCUCUGCAGACUCCGCCUGCAACAAGAUACAAAGGUUUUUAUGAAGGUCGCUGAGAUAAUGUCUGUGAAGUGCCCUUGAUUGCUUCAAUUGCUGUAAUUACACACAUGUGAAAUGCACUCACUUUCAUCAAAUGAAGAAAAGAAAUAGAAAGUCCUGUGUGAGCAAGAUAAUCCUGUUGAAAAUAAUAAACCGGUCGUGUUGAGGAGAAGCUGGCAAUCUGAGUUCAUCUACUUCUCAGCUUGGCAAAAGCAAAGCCAAUACAAAGCAGAAUACUUGCUGUCCAUUUCGAGAUACCAUCAGCACCUGGGAGAUGGCUUGCUGCUUCAACCACCACUAAGUACUGGCUGAUGCUCUCAAAUCUGCUUAUGGGAGAUGAAGUGAGGGAAAUCUUUUCAUUGUUCGUGUAUUUGUGAAAUGCACAGGCUGAAACUACUUGAAAUCAACCCACCUACUGCAGUGCAUUCUGCACAGAAGUAAUUGCUUGAAAGCUUACACUUGAUUUCAUCAAGAAAAAAUGGCUCUGCAAAUAAUAUUGCCAUCACUGUGCUUAUUAUUGUUGGAAGGACUACUAAUUUCAAAUCUUAGAUGGGGGAACUAAUGGAAUUGUAUACCAGAGACCCACUGGGUAACCUUGGGCAAGUCAAACCUUUUGGCCUCAGAGGGAGGCAAGGUCCAACCCUCUCUGAACAAAUUUUGCCAAGAGGAUUCUGUGAA
ensembl:lncRNA